rnacentral:rRNA from 1 species
ACUCCUUUACAAACCCUAAUCUCCACUCAUCUGUGCACCUCCGUAGACUCGAGGAUGGUGUGGACAACUGUCUAUGCCUUCCUUGUCUAUGUUUUCAAUACACACGUCUUUUUAUCUUUGAAUGCGUCAUGUAUAAUGAAAUACAACUUUCAACAACGGAUCUCUUGGUUCUCGCAUCGAUGAAGAACGCAGCGAAUUGCGAUAUGUAAUGUGAAUUGCAGAAUUCAGUGAAUCAUCGAAUCUUUGAACGCACAUUGCACCCUUCUGGUUUUUUCCGAAGGGUAUGCCUGUUUGAGUGUCAUGAAUCUAUCAACGUAGUCAAGCUUUGCCUUGCUAUGAUUGCAUGAAUGAAGGUUGCUGGAAAUCUUGUCAGCUCCUUUUAAAUCGAUUAGCGGAAAAUGCUUUCAGCUCUGGUUUGAUAAAUUUUUCUAUGCCUUUGCUGAUGCUAUCAUCUUUCGCUUCUAAUUGUCCGUUUGGACUGUCUUCCAAAGACACGUCUUGAUUUUGACCUCAAAUCAGGUAGGACUACCCGCUGAACUUAAGCAUAUCAAUAAGCGGA